GGGGUGACUGACUAGGAAGAGGGAGAGGGGGUGACUAGUGACAGAGUGAGGGAGGGGGUGACUAGUGACAGAGUGAGGGAGGGGGUGAACACAGUGACAGAGUAAGGGGGUGACUAGUGACAGAGUGAGGGAGCGGGUGACACAGUGACAGAGUUAGGGAGGGAGUAACUAGUGACAGAGAGAGGGAUGGGGUGACUAGUGACAGUCACCCCCCCCCCCCUCACUCUGUCACCAGUCAUCCCCUUACUCUGUCACUAGUCACCCCUUCCCUCCCUCACUCUGCCACUAGUCACCCAUUCUCUCACUCUGUCACUAGUCUCCCAUUCCCUCCCUCUGUCACUAGUCUCCCCCUCUCCUUCCCUCUGUCACUAGUCACCCAC